GAUGAAGAACGUAGCGAAAUGCGAUAUGUAAUGUGAAUUGCAGAAUUCAGUGAAUCAUUGAAUCUUUGAACGCACCUUGCACCCUUUGGCAUUCCGAAGGGUAUGCUCGUUUGAGUGUCAUUGUACUCUCACACGUCCAAUCUUUGGAUUGGGAGCGGUGGACUUGGGUGUUGCUGCUUACUGUGGCUCACCUCAAAUCGAUUCGUGCACCUCUUGGUUGGACAUAGUACGGCGUGAUAAGUGUCUUCGCCGGCACCUCAGUAGAGGGUGGCUGAUCAGGAGCUCUGUGCUUCAAACCGUCCUCGGACAACAACUGACAACUUGACCUCAAAUCGAGUAGGACUACCCGCUGAACUUAAGCAUAUCAAUAAGCGGAGGA
rnacentral:misc_RNA from 1 species